rnacentral:rRNA from 1 species
AUGCGGAUUAAUGGCACUACCAUGUCUGCCCUAGCAAAUCACUUUGAAUCGAUUUCAGGGGCUAUAACAAUACGUGCCUUUGAGGAACAAGAUCGUUUCUUUGCUCAAAAUUUGGAGCUAGUCGACAAGAAUGCUAGUCCAUACUUUUAUAAUUCUGCAGCUACUGAAUGGUUGAUUCAGCGCCUGGAAACAAUGAGUGCUGCGGUUCUUUCUUUUUCUGCCUUUGUCAUGGUUCUUCUUUUUCCAGGAACUUUUAGCCCCGGUUUUGUUGGAAUGGCAUUCUCUUAUGGUCUUUCCCUAAAUAAUACUCUUGUUAACUCUAUUCAAAGGCAAUGCAGCCUUGCGAAUCAAAUAAUAUCUGUGGAAAGGGUGAACCACUACAUGGACAUACAAAGUGAACCAGAAGUUAUUGAAGAAAACCGUCCGGCACCAGAUUGGCCCCAAGUUGGCUGUGUGGAGCUUAGAGAUUUGAAGAUUAGGUACAGGGAAGACGCACCCCUUGUACUACAUGGUAUCACUUGCAAGUUUGAAGGUGGAGACAAGAUUGGUAUAGUUGGUCGAACAGGAAGUGGCAAGACAACUUUAAUUGGUGCAUUGUUCCGCCUUGUUGAACCUGCUGGAGGGAAAAUAAGUAUUGACUGUGGACAUCACUACGAUAGGCUUACAUGA